CAGCCGCCGCGGUAACACCAGCACCUCGAGUGGUCAGGAGGUUUAUUGGGCCUAAAGCAUCCGUAGCCGGUUGCAUAAGUUUUCGGUUAAAUCUAUGCGCUUAACGUAUAGGCCGCCGAAAAUACUGUGCAGCUAGGGAGUGGGAGAGGUACACGGUACUCGAUAGGAAGGGGUAAAAUCCUUUGAUCUAUUGAUGACCACCUGUGGCGAAGGCGGUGUACCAGAACACGUUCGACGGUGAGGGAUGAAAGCUGGGGGAGCAAACCGGAUUAGAUACCCGCGUAGUCCCUGUCUCUUAUAC
rnacentral:rRNA from 1 species